AUUGUUUCUCAGUCUUUUGGCUUAAGAUCAAGUGUAGUAUCUUUUCCCAUCAGUUUAAUAUCUGGUAUGUCCUGGAUCCGAAGACAAUAUAGUAAGUGGAUUUUUGGAGCAGGGAGGUGGAAGAGGAGUUUGCUCCGUCCACUGUACGCAUCGACCUGGCAUUGCAGUACUCCCAGGAACGGUGCUCCCCCA
rnacentral:snRNA from 1 species